rnacentral:rRNA from 1 species
CGGCACGGGUGAGUAACACGUAUCCAACCUGCCGUCUACUCUUGGCCAGCCUCCUGAAAGGAAGAUUAAUCCAGGAUGGCAUCAUGAGUUCACAUGUCCGCAUGAUUAAAGGUAUUUUCCGGUAGACGAUGGGGAUGCGUUCCAUUAGAUAGUAGGCGGGGUAACGGCCCACCUAGUCAACGAUGGAUAGGGGUUCUGAGAGGAAGGCCCCCACAUUGGAACUGAGACACGGUCCAA